GGAAGGUUCUUGUUUGGAGAUUCCCUCUUUUGGUGAUUUUUGUGGGUGAGCAUACGGUCAGAUGCUAUUGAAAUGAGCAUAGACCCAUCUAGGGCUUCCUGGGAUGACGAUGCUACUCUUUUCCUAAUGCAGGGGUGAAGAUCUGUAUGCCUUGGUAGUUAUUGCCAUAUUUAUUGACAAAAAAAAUCUCAAAACAUGGUAUAAAAACACACCAAGGGAGAAAUUGUAGUAAUUGACACAACAGAUGGAUAGACCGUGUUGUAGUUACCUGCUGCCAAAGUCAAUCCAAGUAAUAUGGCUGUACAACACUAUGAGCUGCAAGGGAGAGAUGAAAUAAGUUGAUCUGUUAGUUGACCUAAUGGAAUCUCCUUUCCUGGCUAAAGAAAUGGAGGCACCCUUUAUGUUAGGCUCUUCUGUCUAGCAGCAGUUAUUAGAAAACUUGUAAAACUUACUGAGUUUGAGAUCUCUGCCCAUCUCUGGCCAGCUGUUUCCAUCUAUGUAAGGGAGCUUAUAACUUAGAUACAGGGUAGCUACAGAAACCUUGUUUCCUCAGGAUAGCCACUUAAAAAGGAAGGGUAUUCACUGAAAAUGAAAUAGUUUAAGUCAAAGAUUUUGUUUGAGUUUGAUGAGUAUCUACAUGCGGGGUUAGGCAUGAAUUGGGCACAUGCUGCAUCCUUAAAGCUUUCUGUGGCUGAUGGACCUGGGCAGGAUGACCUCUUGGGACAGACGAUGGUAGCAGUCCUGGUCUUAAAGUGCUCUAACAGAAGGUCUGAAAUUUCACGCAGAGAACAAGUCAGUCUCCAACACCUCCUCAACAAGAACAGCUCUUCAGGGAACUGUGUGGUGAACGGCGUUCUUCCCAAUCCAAAUAACUCAACUGCCUAUGUUUCCACUGAAAAACAUAGUUUGCCUCUUUUCAAUGCUCUUAACCAUCUUAAGUUGUCCUGCUUUUCCGUGUAUUAUUUUAUUUUUUUGCUUUACAUCCAUUGUCUUCAGUAGCGGAUGUAGACGAGUUCUAUAAUCCAUCACAAAGUGGAAUGGAUCACGGCAUGGCUCAUCUUCCAGCUGAGGACCUGCGCUGCAAUUUUAGUUAGCAAAUGCAACUUGUCCAGCAGCGGGGCGUUGCAGUUUGGGCUCCGGACAGAAGAGGGGGCCCUUCGGAUGGCCAGAUGGAAAAGCUCAGCCAGAUGUGGUCCAGCUGUGGCUCCAGAGUGCCUCCUGCCGCAGGGCCCUGUGCUGCUGACGCAGUAUGGAGAGAGCUGGGGGCUCGCUGGGCAGAAGAAUCUCGAGCACUGCGUGCUCAGAAGGAGAUAUGUGGUUAAUAUUUCUGCUCCACUCCGAAGGUGGCUGAGAGAGUACAGAAGCAAUGCCGGAUAUUUGCUCCAGAGCCUCUGUGCUGUUUGAAUCUGCACUUUGGAAGGUUGUGGCUUAUUCGGUCAAGGUUGUAUCUUGUAAACCACCUGAGGAACAUGUUCCAUGCAAGGUUGCCUGCAUGCAAAUGUGAUGUUUGACACAAACUGCUGGAUUCCCUGACGUCUCUACUUCUACCUCGGGUAAAUUUGUAUCGGCUGCACUGAACAAGUAAAAAUGCUUCCACACUGUAAAGCACUCCCAUAACAUUGAUUCAAGAUUGAUCGCUUGCAUGAGGUAGUUCAGAGAGUAGUUACAGCUGCACAAAACCUUUUAUUCAGGGUUAGAAUUUGACCUAGCGUGAUAACCAGGCAAUAAAAUAGGAGUUGGCUGUCAAAUUCAGGAGAAAUAAGGCAUCACCAGGGCUUAAAGAUCUGCUUCACAACUUUUCUAUCAAAUAAGUCACAUCUCCUGAGUGGAUAUUUCCACAAUUUUUGACAAGGAAGAAAGAAAAUAUUGUCUUUGCCUAGAUCUUAUGAAGUGAAAUAAAGCUGCAAUGAUUGCUAGCCAAGCACAUCUAAACACAGAAUUAAUGCAAGCACUCAGUGUGCAGAGAUGUUUUUAAAUCUUGAUUUACAGUCUGUGUUUUGUAAAUUAACAGAAUCCUCACAACCCUCACAUGAUCUUCAUCAGAUAAUUUUGUGUUUGAAACAUGUGCCAUAUGUUUGAAACUGACCCUAAUGCUUCUGAAGGAAUGAGUGGUUGGUGUUUUCAGGAUGCAGCCUGGAAUCCAGUGCCGGCUGAUGAGUCAUUAAAUAAGGAGAAUAGCAUUUACAGGACGUAAUACAAUAUAUCAGUUUAGCAGAACUGAAAUUUAACUUUCUCAAAUGCCACUUCAGAUAAACAGAACAUAGUCUUUCUCCACUGGAACUGGACCAGGUGCAGAAUAAGCUGCUAUAAUUAUGCCUGCCCUACCAUGAAGACCAUUGCAAGUAUUUUAAUCUUACUUAAUUUUUACAUUACAUUAUGAAAACUUCAUUGAAAAAUACAUUUCAACUGUAAAACUGUUUGAAGUAUGAAAUCUAAAGUGUGUCUUGAAUAAAUUUUGCACAUCUUCAUUCUGAAUUGGUGAAAACCAUAAGUAGGAGAUAUCAGAAUUUAUAGUGUUGUGCUAUUUUAUUGUUACUGAAUGUGAUAGAAACACACUGGGAUAGGGUCUAGAGGCCAAGUUUGCCCAAAUAUAUGAGGUCAACUCUGAGACUAUUAUAGGCUCUGGAAGAACAAUUACAGAGGCUAUAAAAGUAUUCGAUCCUUGGAAAAGAAGUACUGGCUUGUAUAGGAGUAAUAGGAUAAAGCAAACACUGUCUUGUGGCUAUAAAUUCAGCUUCAUAGGGAUCAAUUGCCUUUGCCCGUCCACGUACAGUUAACAACAAAAAGAAUCAGAGAAGCGCAAAGUAAUUUUUUCUUUCACGUGUGACAUAGAAAACAAAAAAGAACAAGAAAAUGGGACGCUUGACUGCUUGUUUUCCUCAUGUUUAUUUUCUCCAAAUACUCCAAAUACUCAUGAUUACUGUCUUCUACUAUGGAAACUGAUGAAGAAAUCAGAUACGUAUUUGCUGCAGUUUCAGAAACAUAAUAUAAAUCUACUUGUUUAGUUUGUCUUGUUCAACAGAAAUUACAAGGCGUCCUGACAGCAAAAUAGACUAAUAAUCAUAACAAAUCUAAUUCAUCUCUGUUCUACUUUGAACUAGAAUGAACUUUCUCUGCAAGACAAGGGAACAACUCACAGAUCUGUUAUUCUGGAAGAAUUAUAAGCAAAAUCAAUACACGUUGCUCAUGACACACAUCAGUGGGUUGUCAUAACAGUGAUUAUGAGUUCUCCAUCAGUAGACAGAGUGAAUGCUCGGGCUACUCUGAAAGUUUUUGUUACUUGACAAAACAAAAGUCAGUUUUCUGGCCUACCUCAUCCUAUCUUUUUAUUUAAGUAAAUGUAGAAAAAGCUUGCAAUCAACAUUAUGGACCUUGCUGCUCACUUGCCAUUUACUAAUGCGGCAGUGUCAAGCUAAUAGAUUUUUCAGUGAAUGGCCAGAAAUAAAAGUAGCCUCUAUUGAGUCUGUUUACUUUGGUCAUGACUUCCUAUUUAUUGCUUUCAGCAGAGAAAGAAGCUCAGAAAACUAAUGUCCAGUAACAUAUGACAAUUCAUAUCUUUACAAUUUCAGUAUUUUUCCUGGGGAAAAGAGGAGACAUUGUACACACACAACAAUCAGCACAGUGUCCUCUAGCUAAUGAAGGACUGAACACUACAAUAAAGCUUUGAAAAGAAAGGUUGGAGGUAUCUAAACUGAAAGGAAAAUCUGGGAAAACUUUCACUUCAAAUUUCCUUGAAAAAAAAAAAAGAGAGAGACAUGAUGCAGCAAAGCUGAGGGAGAUUUUAAAAGCAGGAGGAAAAUGUUAGAAUAGAAAUACCAGUCUAAUAGGAUUUGAGAAAACCAUCCAAUGGAAAUAGCAAAAAUGAGAAAAGUUAUCAUGUUAGUUUUGAACUACCAAGGAUCUGCAAUGUGCAAGAAAUCUGUGAGAAAACAAAAACCCAUUAUAUAGGAGAAUUAUAGUUUACAUUACCUCUCAGUAGUGUCUGAAGGAGAAAUGAGCCAUCCGUUCCAGUGGAUGAUAAAUAAGAAAUUUUUAUCACUCUAUGUAUUUAUUACCUGAGCAACUUGGACACGUAUUAUCAUGUCCACCUGUAACUGUAUGCUUUGUAUUACUCCUUCUGGUGCAGGAUGCACCAAAGGAAUAAGAGGAUGAGCAUCCAGCCAAGUCUACAGAAUCACCUGUGUGAGCUAGAACCAGAGCUAUGACAUCCUCUAUUCUGUGAUCCUAAAGAAUUUGUUAGGAGGAAUUAGUUCUAUGUCAGCUCAUCAGGUUGUUUCUUAGUUACUUGGCUAUUUAUUUCCUGACUGUAUAAUUAGUGAAUUCUAAGAUGUCAGUUACUUCUUUACUGCUGUUCUUCUACACAGUGGGACUGCGCUUGCCUUUCUGGACAGGGGAAUACAUGGUACUGCAGUGCUGACUCUGCACAUGAAGGAUUUAGACCACUUAGAGCAAAGAAAC